rnacentral:rRNA from 1 species
AUUGAACGCUGGCGGCAUGCCUUACACAUGCAAGUCGAACGGCAGCACGGGUGCUUGCACCUGGUGGCGAGUGACGAACGGGUGAGUAAUACAUCGGAACGUACCUUAUCGUGGGGGAUAACGCAGCGAAAGCUGUGCUAAUACCGCAUACGCCCUGAGGGGGAAAGCGGGGGAUCGCAAGACCUCGCGCGAUUAGAGCGGUCGAUGCCUGAUUAGCUUGUUGGUGGGGUAAAAGCCCACCAAGGCGACGAUCAGUAGCUGGUCUGAGAGGACGAUCAGCCACACUGGGACUGAGACACGGCCCAGACUCCUACGGGAGGCAGCAGUGGGGAAUUUUGGACAAUGGGGGCAACCCUGAUCCAGCAAUGCCGCGUGAGUGAAGAAGGCCUUCGGGUUGUAAAGCUCUUUUGUCAGGGAAGAAACACCGGCUCUAACACAGUCCGGGAAUGACGGUACCUGAAGAAUAAGCACCGGCUAACUACGUGCCAGCCGCCGCGGUAA